rnacentral:rRNA from 1 species
GAUGAACGCUGGCGGCGUGCCUAAUACAUGCAAGUCGAGCGAACGGACGAGAAGCUUGCUUCUCUGAUGUUAGCGGCGGACGGGUGAGUAACACGUGGAUAACCUACCUAUAAGACUGGGAUAACUUCGGGAAACCGGAGCUAAUACCGGAUGAUAUUUUGAACCGCAUGGUUCAAAAGUGAAAGACGGUCUUGCUGUCACUUAUAGAUGGAUCCGCGCUGCAUUAGCUAGUUGGUAAGGUAACGGCUUACCAAGGCAACGAUGCAUAGCCGACCUGAGAGGGUGAUCGGCCACACUGGAACCGAGACACGGUCCAGACUCCUACGGGAGGCAGCAGUAGGGAAUCUUCCGCAAUGGGCGAAAGCCUGACGGAGCAACGCCGCGUGAGUGAUGAAGGUCUUCGGAUCGUAAAACUCUGUUAUUAGGGAAGAACAUAUGUGUAAGUAACUGUGCACAUCUUGACGGUACCUAAUCAGAAAGCCACGGCUAACUACGUG